rnacentral:rRNA from 1 species
AGGACGAAUGCUGGCGGCGUGCUUAACACAUGCAAGUCGAGCGGAAAGGCCCUUCGGGGUACUCGAGCGGCGAACGGGUGAGUAACACGUGAGCAACCUGCCCCUAGCUCUGGGAUAGCUCCGGGAAAACCGGGAUUAAUACCAGAUACGACCACUUUAGACAUCUUUUGUGGUGGAAAGGAUUCCGGCUAGGGAUGGGCUCGCGGCCUAUCAGCUUGUUGGUGAGGUAACGGCCCACCAAGGCGACGACGGGUA